AUCCUGGAUCUUUGCAGAAUGCACUCACAACAGCUUCAGAGCUCACUACAGGACAUCAGAAAUGGGUCCUGCAGGACACAUGAACCAAGCAUUAAAAUGGAAUGUUCCUCAGAGACUUACAUAAUACAACAACCUCAGAGACAAAGGAUACAGCCCUUCUUACACUUCAAUAUCGUGGACUUUCCUGUCUAGGAUUAAACACCUCCAGUCCCUGGGAGUGCAGAUGCUCACCAAGCACAGCUGGAACCAGACCUUGGCAGAAAGAAGCAUUUAAUGUAAAGCCUAAAAUUUACAGUUAAUACUGUGUGACUGAUCUUGACCAACUUUGUGGGUUCAGUGAUAAAACAAAGGUUUUCUUUUCACAUUGUUGUGGCCUCUUUCCUUAGUUGUUUUAGGAGGUCUCCCACAGUGCCAGUUAGAACACUUUUGAGCACCUGAGGGAGUGUCUGGAAAUCUGUGUCUCCUUUUUAAUUUCACACUCAGUCAAGUUCAGCUGCAGUUAAUGGAGGGCUCUCUCAUGGAAACAUCAAACAAUG